GUGCCAGCAGCCGCGGUAAUACGUAGGUCCCGAGCGUUGUCCGGAUUUAUUGGGCGUAAAGCGAGCGCAGGUGGUUUAUUAAGUCUGGUGUAAAAGGCAGUGGCUCAACCAUUGUAUGCAUUGGAAACUGGUAGACUUGAGUGCAGGAGAGGAGAGUGGAAUUCCAUGUGUAGCGGUGAAAUGCGUAGAUAUAUGGAGGAACACCGGUGGCGAAAGCGGCUCUCUGGCCUGUAACUGACACUGAGGCUCGAAAGCGUGGGGAGCAAACAGGAUUAGAAACCCGCGUAGUCC
rnacentral:rRNA from 1 species